GAUGAACGCUGGCGGCGUGCCUAAUACAUGCAAGUCGAGCGAAUGGAUUAAGAGCUUGCUCUUAUGAAGUUAGCGGCGGACGGGUGAGUAACACGUGGGUAACCUGCCCAUAAGACUGGGAUAACUCCGGGAAACCGGGGCUAAUACCGGAUAACAUUUUGAACCGCAUGGUUCGAAAUUGAAAGGCGGCUUCGGCUGUCACUUAUGGAUGGACCCGCGUCGCAUUAGCCAGUUGGUGGGGUAACGGCUCACCAAGGCAACGAUGCGUAGCCGACCUGAGAGGGUGAUCGGCCACACUGGGACUGAGACACGGCCCAGACUCCUACGGGAGGCAGCAGUAGGGAGUCUUCCGCAAUGGACGAAAGUCUGACGGAGCAACGCCGCGUGAGUGAUGAAGGCUUUCGGGUCGUAAAACUCUGUUGUUAGGGAAGAACAAGUGCUAGUUGAAUAAGCUGGCACCUUGACGGUACCUAACCAGAAAGCCACGGCUAACUACGUGCCAGCCGCCGCAGUAA
rnacentral:rRNA from 1 species